rnacentral:rRNA from 1 species
UACGUAGGGGGCAAGCGUUGUCCGGAAUCAUUGGGCGUAAAGAGCGUGUAGGCGGCCAGAAAAGUCCGCUGUGAAAACUCGAGGCUCAACUUCGAGCUGUCGGUGGAAACUUUCUGGCUAGAGUCCGGAAGAGGAGAAUGGAAUUCCUGGUGUAGCGGUGAAAUGCGCAGAUAUCCGGAGGAACACCGGUGGCGAAGGCGGCUUCCUGGACCGACACUGACGCUGAGGCGCGAAAGCUAGGGGAGCAAACGGG